rnacentral:rRNA from 1 species
AGAGUUUGAUCCUGGCUCAGGAUGAACGCUGGCGGCGUGCCUAAUACAUGCAAGUCGAGCGAACGGACGAGAAGCUUGCUUCUCUGAUGUUAGCGGCGGACGGGUGAGUAACACGUGGAUAACCUACCUAUAAGACUGGGAUAACUUCGGGAAACCGGAGCUAAUACCGGAUAAUAUUUUGAACCGCAUGGUUCAAAAGUGAAAGACGGUCUUGCUGUCACUUAUAGAUGGAUCCGCGCUGCAUUAGCUAGUUGGUAAGGUAACGGCUUACCAAGGCAACGAUGCAUAGCCGACCUGAGAGGGUGAUCGGCCACACUGGAACUGAGACACGGUCCAGACUCCUACGGGAGGCAGCAGUAGGGAAUCUUCCGCAAUGGGCGAAAGCCUGACGGAGCAACGCCGCGUGAGUGAUGAAGGUCUUCGGAUCGUAAAACUCUGUUAUUAGGGAAGAACAUAUGUGUAAGUAACUGUGCACAUCUUGACGGUACCUAAUCAGAAAGCCACGGCUAACUACGUGCCAGCAGCCGCGGUAAUACGUAGGUGGCAAGCGUUAUCCGGAAUUAUUGGGCGUAAAGCGCGCGUAGGCGGUUUUUUAAGUCUGAUGUGAAAGCCCACGGCUCAACCGUGGAGGGUCAUUGGAAACUGGAAAACUUGAGUGCAGAAGAGGAAAGUGGAAUUCCAUGUGUAGCGGUGAAAUGCGCAGAGAUAUGGAGGAACACCAGUGGCGAAGGCGACUUUCUGGUCUGUAACUGACGCUGAUGUGCGAAAGCGUGGGGAUCAAACAGGAUUAGAUACCCUGGUAGUCCACGCCGUAAACGAUGAGUGCUAAGUGUUAGGGGGUUUCCGCCCCUUAGUGCUGCAGCUAACGCAUUAAGCACUCCGCCUGGGGAGUACGACCGCAAGGUUGAAACUCAAAGGAAUUGACGGGGACCCGCACAAGCGGUGGAGCAUGUGGUUUAAUUCGAAGCAACGCGAAGAACCUUACCAAAUCUUGACAUCCUUUGACAACUCUAGAGAUAGAGCUUUCCCCUUCGGGGGACAAAGUGACAGGUGGUGCAUGGUUGUCGUCAGCUCGUGUCGUGAGAUGUUGGGUUAAGUCCCGCAACGAGCGCAACCCUUAAGCUUAGUUGCCAUCAUUAAGUUGGGCACUCUAAGUUGACUGCCGGUGACAAACCGGAGGAAGGUGGGGAUGACGUCAAAUCAUCAUGCCCCUUAUGAUUUGGGCUACACACGUGCUACAAUGGACAAUACAAAGGGCAGCGAAACCGCGAGGUCAAGCAAAUCCCAUAAAGUUGUUCUCAGUUCGGAUUGUAGUCUGCAACUCGACUACAUGAAGCUGGAAUCGCUAGUAAUCGUAGAUCAGCAUGCUACGGUGAAUACGUUCCCGGGUCUUGUACACACCGCCCGUCACACCACGAGAGUUUGUAACACCCGAAGCCGGUGGAGUAACCUUUUAGGAGCUAGCCGUCGAAGGUGGGACAAAUGAUUGGGGUGAAGUCGUAACAAGGUAGCCGUAUCGGAAGGUG